rnacentral:lncRNA from 1 species
UUGGCAUGAGAAUGAGAAGAAAAAGAGAGGAAAAAGUCUGGAUAAAGACAAGAAAAAAAGAGAGAAAAAAAUGGAAAGGAAGGGAUGAGGGAAAAUAGAAAGCAUGAGAUGCUUGUCAAACAAUCAGAUUGUUCAUAUGUCGAACAUAAAAUCUGAUUUAUGUGUAGUGAGAUCUUUUGAAAAAGGAUUUCUAAAGAGAUCCUAGUGGAGGUCAUAAAGGUAUACAAGCGAAGGUGCAACCAGUUCUUACGAAAGACGGUCGGCAGGGAGCUUGCGAAGAAGGCUGCAGCACCAUGACGAAUUGGGAAGGGCCCUGAUCAGUUCUGUGUGGAUCACCGUUGGAGGACUUCUAUUUUGGAAUCUUGUGGAGGUCUCAAAAUUAUCAGAUCUUGAUCUUCUCAUUGAUAUAUAACUUCUGAUCUCUUCCUGAUAUGUAUGUUUUUUAUCGUUUGAUUGUAAUCAUUAAAAGAUUUCUAAGAUUUUAUGUUUCGG